GACGAACGCUGGCGGCGUGCUUAACACAUGCAAGUCGAACGGAAAGGCCCUGCUUUUGUGGGGUGCUCGAGUGGCGAACGGGUGAGUAACACGUGAGUAACCUGCCCUUUACUUUGGGAUAACUUCAGGAAACUUGGGCUAAUACCCGAUAGGAGCUCCUGCUGCCUGGUGGGGGUUGGAAAGUUUUGGCGGUUGGGGAUGGUAUCGCGGCUUAUCAUCUUGUUGGUGGGGUAGUGGCUUACCAAGGCUUUGACGGGUAGCCGGCCUGAGAGGGUGACCGGCCACAUUGGGACUGAGAUACGGCCCAGACUCCUACGGGAGGCAGCAGUGGGGAAUAUUGCACAAUGGGCGGAAGCCUGAUGCAGCAACGCCGCGUGCGGGAUGACGGCCUUCGGGUUGUAAACCGCUUUCGCCUGUGACGAAGCGUGAGUGACGGUAAUGGGUAAAGAAGCACCGGCUAACUACGUG
rnacentral:rRNA from 1 species